rnacentral:rRNA from 1 species
AGUAACCUGCCCUGGAGUGGGGAAUAACAGCUGGAAACAGCUGCUAAUACCGCAUAAUGCAGUUGGGCCGCAUGGCUCUGACUGCCAAAGAUUUAUCGCUCUGGGAUGGACUCGCGUCUGAUUAGCUAGUUGGUGGGGCAACGGCCCACCAAGGCGACGAUCAGUAGCCGGCCUGAGAGGGCGACCGGCCACAUUGGGACUGAGACACGGCCCAGACUCCUACGGGAGGCAGCAG